rnacentral:misc_RNA from 1 species
CAAGUUCAUAGCCGGGGACUGUGUUUCUGGCGAGCGAGUCCUCUUGAAUAGAUCUAGACAAACCACAAAAGAGAAACGAAGACUUCGCACAUUGAGAUUGAAAGAAAUUCUGUUCUUCGUCUCAGAAUUUUAGUCGAGAAGAUGGUGUCGGAGUUGAUAUUUAGAGGCCACGACGAAACCCAGCAUACGACUGACUCCUACUCGCCGAAGCCGUCCAAGAGAUGGCUUUCCAUCACUCGCCCGAUUCGCUACAUGCUUCGUGAACAACGUCUCGUCUUUGUCCUCGUCGGCAUUGUUAUUGCCACCCUUUUCUUUACCGUCCUUCCUUCCUCUUCUAGAGCCCCAUAUGUGCAGCAUCACAAACAGGAGCCGAUCUCUGAUUCGCUGGCUCACUUAUCUCAUGAGUCGGUGCCAGCGAGAUACAAAUUCUACGAACCUCAUGGGGCCGGGUUCGGUUCAGUAAAUUCGGGCGGGAAGAUCCCGCUGGGGCUAAAACGGAAGGGUUUGAGAAUAGUGGUGACCGGUGGGGCUGGGUUCGUUGGGUCACACUUGGUGGACCGUCUGAUCGAAAGAGGUGACAGCGUGAUCGUGGUGGACAAUUUCUUCACGGGAAGGAAAGAGAACGUGAUGCACCACUUCAAAAACCCGAGAUUUGAGCUCAUAAGGCACGACGUCGUAGAGCCCCUGUUGCUGGAAGUGGACCAGAUCUAUCACCUUGCUUGCCCGGCAUCGCCCGUGCAUUACAAGCACAACCCGGUCAAGACCAUAAAGACCAAUGUGGUGGGGACACUGAAUAUGCUGGGGUUGGCGAAGAGGGUCGGUGCCAGGUUUCUGCUCACCAGCACCAGCGAGGUCUACGGUGAUCCUCUCCAGCACCCGCAGGUCGAGACUUACUGGGGCAACGUCAAUCCCAUCGGUGUCCGAAGUUGUUACGACGAGGGAAAGAGGACGGCUGAGACGUUAACAAUGGAUUACCACAGGGGAGCAGGCGUCGAGGUCAGGAUUGCAAGAAUUUUCAAUACCUAUGGUCCCCGAAUGUGCAUCGACGACGGCCGUGUUGUUAGUAAUUUUGUUGCUCAGGCAUUAAGGAAGGAGCCUUUGACUGUUUAUGGUGAUGGGAAGCAGACAAGGAGUUUCCAAUAUGUUUCUGAUUUGGUAAAAGCCCCUUAUAAUUUCUCUCUUCGGUGAUGCUUUAUUUGCCUUUGUCUUUUGUUUUUGCUUUUGUUGCCCAGUCCAAUCCAAAUUUCAAAAUGCAAGAGUGAACUUUUAAAUUCUAAUUUCUUGGAUUGGAUAUCAUUUGCGUACUAUAACUUUACGAGAUGUUGGGGACUACUAACAUAUUCUGCUUUUUCAUUGCUAAUUUCUGUGGCUAUGACGUUCAAACGCAACUUUUCUCACAAGCACGUGUGCGGUGAGGAAUGAGGAUGCAAUAAUCAAUCUCAUUCACCUGUGCACGUACAUAACAUAUUGUUUUUACCCAAUGCCACAAAUAUCCAUCUGCCUUCCUCCUUUUGCCAUUUUAUGCUUUAACUUUAGAAUGUUUAAGCAAAGUAGCAAAUACCACAAGCAUACCAUUAGCCAGUUAUAAGCCCCAAGUGGGCUUCGUUUAUAGUUGUCCAUGGGUUAGGUAUGGUAUUGUAUAGUUUGAUUUGCUUUGUAAAAACAAGACAAUUUUUUUAGCAUAUUAUGUGUCAAACAGUUCAUUUGUUGGCUGAAAGCGGGAUCCUCAUGUACUCCCUCUACGUUUAUCAUUGACAAUUUCCCGCAUUAUUUAUUGUUCAGAGGUAAAUGCGUAAGGUUGAUGAGCUUUUAGAGCAGAAAUGAAUGCCUUGUCUUGUCUGUGCCUUUCUAUGUGCCAAAACAUAUUUUGGUUGCAUUCUGCUUAUCUUUUUUUAAUAGUUUCUGCUGCUAGUGCUCAGGAUUUAUUUCAAUGUCCUAUUGUAUUUGUAUUUAAAUAUCAGGUUGAAGGUCUGAUGCGCCUUAUGGAAGGGGAACAUGUGGGGCCUUUCAAUCUUGGUAAUCCUGGUGAAUUCACCAUGCUUGAACUUGCUCAGGUGGUACAAGAAACCAUUGAUCCAAAUGCAAGGAUAGAGUUCAGGCCUAACACAGAAGAUGACCCACACAAGAGGAAGCCUGAUAUUACAAAGGCAAAGGAUCUGCUUGGUUGGAAGCCGAAGGUAUCCCUUCGGAAGGGUCUGCCACUAAUGGUCUCAGAUUUCCAGCAACGCAUCUUUGGUGACCACAAGGAAGAUAGCACCACCAGCAUUCUGUCAACAGCUUAAAUUGGCACUUUUUUUCUUGAGCAGCGGCAGCAAUAUAAUUAUUUGGUGGAUAACCAACUUAUCGUUGCCUUCAUCACACGGUUACGUGGCAACAACAGUGGCAGCAAAGAAGUCCGUUAUUCUAUGAGGAAUGAACUUGGAGGUGUUCCUUUCCCAUUUAUUUCAGUCAGCUUCAUAAUCUCCAUGUAUUUUUUUUUUUCGCUUGUAAUUUCUCUUUGAAGGAUAUUAGACAGCCAGCAGCCUUGCAAUUAAAGUCACUUUAAACUUUGAAGCAAUUGAUAUAUGUAGCAGCAUCAGCAACGGCUUCCAUUGUAUUAGUUUUGUUACAUUUACGACGCUCAUCUUCGUAUAUAAAACAGAAUCUUCCGUUCUUCAAUCGAGGAAUUAUAAUUUCUGAUUUCAUGAUGUGCCAGAGAGAUGAUUUUUAACUUG